rnacentral:lncRNA from 1 species
CGAUUCUGAUUGUCUUUCCCGGAUUCUCUGGUCCCAGGCUUACAGUUUCCAGAUCCUCUACAGGUUCUUGUCUGCCAUUCUUGUUUUCCACUCGGGUAUCGAGGGAUGUUAUCUGCAUUGCUUCCCCUGUUUCCAUCGCUUUUCACUUGCUUUACUCCCCUUCUUGCUAUCAACAGAAGCUUUUUGAUCAGUUCCCCACAGACGGCGCCAAAAUCUUGAUGCGAGAUUCUGGUUCUCCUCGUUC